CAGAGCAUAGGACUCGAUGGCCUCCGAGCCCGUGCUUUGGGUGUGAUUCGACUUCGAGUCGAUCUUGCUUACCCCACUUCGAGGCUUUUACUAUGGAUGCGGAGAUCGACCGUAGGUUCCGAGACAUGAAUCAAAAAAUUGAAGCACUGCAGAAUCAAGCUCCGACCAAGGGUGGUAGUUACAACACCGAUCCAUCCUUUAGUA
rnacentral:lncRNA from 1 species